rnacentral:rRNA from 1 species
UCGAUGAAGAACGCAGCGAAAUGCGAUAAGUAAUGUGAAUUGCAGAAUUCAGUGAAUCAUCGAAUCUUUGAACGCAUCUUGCGCUCCUUGGUAUUCCGAGGAGCAUGCCUGUUUGAGUGUCAUCAAAUUCUCAACCAUGCUGUGGGCAUGGCUUGGACAUGGAGGGCUUUUGCAGGCUUGGAUUAGUCUUGCUCCUCUGAAAAGCAUUAGUGGCGUCAGUGCAGAAAACUACUACAGGUGUGAUAACUUGUCUAUGCCUUGUGUGUAUAAUGCCAUGCUGCUUCAAUGGACUUUAUUUUGUGAUCUUGACCUCAAAUCAGGUAGGACUACCCGCUGAACUUAA